UACGGGGGGAGCAAGCGUUGUUCGGAUUUACUGGGCGUAAAGGGCGCGUAGGCGGCCAGCACAAGUCGGUUGUGAAAUCUCCGGGCUUAACUCGGAAAGGUCAACCGAUACUGUGCGGCUAGAGUGCGGAAGGGGCAACUGGAAUUCUCGGUGUAGCGGUGAAAUGCGUAGAUAUUCGGAGGAACACCAGUGGCGAAGGCGGCUCGCUGGCUCGAUACUGACGCUGAGGUGCGAAAGCGUGGGGAGCAAACAGG
rnacentral:rRNA from 1 species